rnacentral:misc_RNA from 1 species
GAUGAAGAACGCAGCGAAAUGCGAUAAGUAAUGUGAAUUGCAGAAUACAGUGAAUCAUCGAAUCUUUGAACGCACAUUGCGCCCCUUGGUAUUCCGAGGGGCAUGCCUGUUCGAGCGUCAUUAUAACCCCUCAAGCUCAGCUUGGUGUUGGGGCCUGCUGCACUGGCAGCCCUUAAAAUCAGUGGCGGCGCCAUCUGGCUCUAAGCGUAGUAAUUCUUCUCGCUAUGGAGUCCUGGUGGAUGCUUGCCAUCAACCCCCAAUUUUUCUAUGGUUGACCUCGGAUCAGGUAGGGAUACCCGCUGAACUUAAGCAUAUCAAUAAGCGGAGGA